UUUUGACCACCAUUCAGUAUGCAGCAUUCCUGUUGGCCACUCUGACAGAUGCUUACGCCGGUGCUUCCAACCAGCGUUUCCACAAUGGCUUCCCAGCCUUCCCUUCAUCCUGCACCACUUUUUUCUGGGCAGGAAACCCAAAGGGACAGCAAUCAGGAAGAGGAUUCCAUCCUUGCCUUCUCCCUUUCAAUGGAAGUGGAUAAUUCAAUCAGUCCACAGACGUAAGGCCUCAUCAGCCAGCAAGGAAAGGCAGUCCUUAAGCUAAGUCGAUUCAGUGUUCAUUGUUCUCUCUCUCUCUCUCUCUCUCUCUCUCUCUCCUUCUCUUCUUUCUUUCCUUCUAAGCUAAAUCUAAUGGAAGACAAAUCAAUCCACACCAAAAGGAAAAAAAAAAAUCAGGCUUAUUUUCACCAAAAGAAAAUUUUGUUUUGUUUUUUUGGAUCAGAAACACAGGUCUUCCCAAAUCAAGUUAAGUGAGUCCCAGAUGUGGACUCAUUUCAAAUGAAAAACACACCCCCAUCAUCUCAGGCAGAACUCUGCUUGAGGAAACCGGUGAUUGCAAUGCCUGACACCAGAGAAUUUCUCCAGAGAGUUUGUCCCAGCCUGUGGAGAGGAAGAGGAAUGGGGAAGAUGAAGGGCUGGCGUGCUUCUCCUCCCCCUGGGGAGAAGAGAGACGGGAUUCAGGUUAAUGAGGUUGGAGGGUCGAUGUGAACCAAUCAGAGGAGUGGAAAGCAUCUUUGAAUAGUGCCGAGGAUGGCAAGAAUGGAAGCUGCCACAUGCUGAAGGCUGGGUUUAUUAAUGAGAAGGCACUGAAGCCAUAUUACACAGCCUGGACAUGUACGGCCUGAAACAAACAAAACCCAACGAGAAAUGACAGUGACGCUCACACUUGUGGGCAUUCUGGAGAAUUCUUUUUCCAUGGGAGAAUAGUAGAUGGCAGCUGGAAUGCUGGGGAACAACAUGAUGUGCAAAUUAAUAUAUUUCUUUUAAAGGCCAAGAGGAGAAGAGGGCCUUCUGACAGCCUUUGAUUCGACCAUUAAUUUUCAAAGACUGAUCGAGACACUGACAUGUCACAUGGACCUGCUUCUAGUGUUAGACCAAAAAAAGAAUGUUGAACCAUGUAACCAAAGACAUCUCUUGGUGAAAGAUCCUCCUUUUAACAACUGUAAUUCGCAUUUUCAUCAAUGUCAUGCUGUGCGUAGAUGAAAACAGUCAUUUAAAUGUGUUUCUUCUGUCUUCUCCUAAUAAGCUUGAUUUUACAUUUCUUGCCAUCUGGUUUGUUGAACAGAAAUAUGGAAGUACUUUUACUCUCUAUAUGCUUCUUACAGGGUUUAAUCUAAGAUGUGGUCUUUUCCUUUUUACUAAACUGGACUCUAACUCAGAUUUUUCCCCUUAGACAGGCUCUUUGGCUAUUUUGGCAGGGCUCUUGCCCUUCCUUAAGCCGAACCAUUUAGCCCAGUGU
ensembl:lncRNA